rnacentral:rRNA from 1 species
AACUGCGAGUGAAGCGGGAAAAGCUCAAAUUUAAAAUCUAAUGGUCUUUUUGGCCGUUCGAGUUGUAAUUUAGAGAAGCGUCUUCCGCGCCAGACCAUGUACAAGUCUCCUGGAACGGAGCGUCGUAGAGGGUGAGAAUCCCGUCUUUGACAUGGACCCUCGGUGCUUCUGUGAUGCGCUCUCAAAGAGUCGAGUUGUUUGGGAAUGCAGCUCAAAAUGGGUGGUGAACUCCAUCUAAGGCUAAAUAUUGGCGAGAGACCGAUAGCGAACAAGUACCGUGAGGGAAAGAUGAAAAGCACUUUGGAAAGAGAGUGAAACAGUACGUGAAAUUGUUGAAAGGGAAACACUUGAAGUCAGUCGCGUCGAUCAAGACUCAGCCUUGCCCUCGGCUUGGCGUACUUCUUGACUUGACGGGCCAGCAUCAAUUUUGUCCCUCGGAUAAUGGCAGGGGAAAGGUGGCACCUUCACGGGUGUGUUAUAGUCUCUUGUCGCAUACGAGGGGUGGGAUUGAGGAACUCAGCACGCGCUUCACGGCGUCGGGGCUUCGGCCC